rnacentral:rRNA from 1 species
CCUACGGGUGGCAGCAGUGGGGAAUAUUGCACAAUGGGGGAAACCCUGAUGCAGCGACGCCGCGUGAGUGAAGAAGUAAUUCGUUAUGUAAAGCUCUAUCAGCAGGGAAGAAAAUGACGGUACCUGAGUAAGAAGCCCCGGCUAACUACGUGCCAGCAGCCGCGGUAAUACGGAGGAUGCGAGCGUUAUCCGGAUUUAUUGGGUUUAAAGGGUGCGUAGGCGGGCUGUUAAGUCAGCGGUCAAAUGUCGGGGCUCAACCCCGGCCUGCCGUUGAAACUGGCGGCCUCGAGUGGGCGAGAAGUAUGCGGAAUGCGUGGUGUAGCGGUGAAAUGCAUAGAUAUCACGCAGAACUCCGAUUGCGAAGGCAGCAUACCGGCGCCCGACUGACGCUGAGGCACGAAAGCGUGGGUAUCGAACAGGAUUAGAUACCCCUGUAGUC